rnacentral:rRNA from 1 species
UACAGAGGGUGCGAGCGUUGUCCGGAAUCACUGGGCGUAAAGGGCGCGUAGGUGGCGACCCAAGUCGAUGGUGAAAACUCGCCGCUCAACGGCGAGUCGGCCACCGAUACUGGGUUGCUGGAGCACUGUAGAGGCAGAUGGAAUUCCGGGUGUAGCGGUGGAAUGCGUAGAGAUCCGGAAGAACACCGGUGGCGAAGGCGGUCUGCUGGGCAGUUGCUGACACUGAGGCGCGACAGCGUGGGGAGCAAACAGG